rnacentral:rRNA from 1 species
AGUGAACGCUGGCGGUAGGCCUAACACAUGCAAGUCGAACGGCAGCACAGUAAGAGCUUGCUCUUACGGGUGGCGAGUGGCGGACGGGUGAGGAAUACAUCGGAAUCUACUUUUUCGUGGGGGAUGACGUAGGGAAACUUACGCUAAUACCGCAUACGACCUACGGAUGAAAGCAGGGGAUCUUCGGACCUUGCGCGAUUGAAUGAGCCGAUGUCGGAUUAGCUAGUUGGCGGGGUAAAGGCCCACCAAGGCGGCGAUCCGUAGCUGGUCUGAGAGGAUGAUCAGCCACACUGGAACUGAGACACGGUCCAGACUCCUACGGGAGGCAGCAGUGGGGAAUAUUGGACAAUGGGCGCAAGCCUGAUCCAGCCAUACCGCGUGGGUGAAGAAGGCCUUCGGGUUGUAAAGCCCUUUUGUUGGGAAAGAAAAGCAGCAGGUUAAUACCCCGCUGUUCUGACGGUACCCAAAGAAUAAGCACCGGCUAACUUCGUG